GGUUGUGGUGUCCCACCAGAAAGCCUGGGAUGGAAAGGUUUGGGAGGGUAACCACAGAUCAGACAUCUCUAUCAAAAGGCUCCCCAGAACAAAGACCAUGACAACAGACUAAACUUCUAAAAUUUAUAGACCAUGUUACCAGACAGGCAAAAGAAAUGGAAAUCACAACAGAUCAACAGUAAUCAUGUGCUUUAAAGAUAUUUGACUCAGUGAUUUAAAGAUGGAGACAACUAGUCAAAGUAAUCUCUUUGGCUGAAGAUUGAGGCCUGCUGAAAGUUAGAACAGGGGAAGUUUUCCACUGUACCUUAAACAAUGACUGUUUUGGGGCAGAGGAUGAUAUUGCAUUAGAUAAAACUCUACUGUGAGCAUAAGAGCCCUAGUUUGGCUGGAACCCACAUAAAAUUCCAGAGAUGGUGACACGUUCCUAUAACCUCUACCACCAAGAAAACGGUGCCCGGAGAAACCCUAGAGCUCACAGACCAGCGUGUCUAAUCAGUCUGUGAACCCUGGAUUCAAAAAGAGACAUUGUCUCAGGGAAUCACGGAGGAGAGCAAGAGAGAUUCUCAGUAUUCAAUGAUUUUUUGCGACUUCCUCAUGCCUAUAUAUACCCCCAAACACAGAUACAAAAGUAUAUACAAAUUAAAUACAUGGACAUUCACCCCCAAUUGCACAAAUGCACAAACACAUACACA
rnacentral:sRNA from 1 species